GACCUGAUAGCACAGUGGGUAGUGCGACUGUUUCGAUUCGCAGAAUAACAUUGAAAAGUAUAAACAGAGGAGCCCUGUUCGAUUCGGGGUCAGGUCA